GAGCUCCCCACGAGCCCCAGCCCUGGGCUGGUCCAGACCCAGAGCCUCAGCCAGGACCUGCCCUGCUCUGUGAGGGGCUCACCAGGCUGCUGAGCUUGGGCCGUGGGCAUUGAGCACUGCUGAACCCUCGGAUUUGGGGCUAGCAGGGGUGAAACCCUGCAAAACAUUGGGCAGGAACAGGUUAAAACGAUGAGCACCUUUCCUAAUAGCCAAAAGACUCACAGCUGCUGGCAGUGAGCCUCCAAUUGGGCUUUAAGGAGGCAGUGGGAGCUGAGGGGAUCAGUGGGGUCACCUGCUGCCCCAAAGGGAAUAAAGAUGCAGCCAGGGUAGCCCUGGGGAGCUGUUGGAGAGAGGAUGGUGGAAGGGGGCUUGCUGCUUGCCUGGCAUCAGCGGUUUGGGACCAGGAUGGAGAUGGGGAUCCAGCGAGCCCAGCACAGCCUGGCAGCGGUGCCUCGGGCUGGAUCCAGGCCUGCAAGCACAAAAGCUUCUCUAACACAAGGUGGAAAACGUUGGCAAGUGGUUUCCUCCGUCCUGGUGCAAGGAGCCAUCCCUGCCUGCUCUUCUCCCCACAGGCAGCCGUCCCUGCUGUUGGGUUUGAAGCUUCUUAAGCAUCACGGAGAGCAGACUCACGAGCUGUUUUUUUCCAAACAGUGCAAAUGAGCCAUGAACACCGCUAAUCCUGAGGUCGUUUUUAUCCUGCACACAAAUAAUGAGAAGCUGAAGAAGUCACCAAAUGGCUCCAUGGACACUUGCUUCCAGCCAAGACUGGAAUCUGCUGCAGUCCCAGAAUUUAUGGGGUAGCUCAGUUCACCACUAAAAUUUUUAUGAGUCGGUAUCUUCUGGAAAAGUAAUGGGGAAACGAAGCCCAAGAGGCCCAGAGCCUCGUCCUGCUGCAGCCAGAGGAGCUGGGACCUGCAGGGACGUGGCUGAGGAGUGGCCAGCAGGGACAGAAAACAGGAAAGUGCCUCCUGAUGGAUGCAACCAGCACAGACUUGUGUUUCAGGGUGCUUCGUUAAUGCUGCCGAGUUACCUGAGUGUGAGUCAAAUUUGUCACGCUGCUAUUAGUCUUGGGGAGCAGAAGGUUGUGAUUCACGUCUCCUGGAUUUUUCCUCUGAAUAAGAUUAGUGCAGCCCAAUUAUCACCUAAUGAGUUGUAAGCAGCUCUUCCAGCCUGAUGCACAAGCCCAUCAACUUUCAGGGCUAAAGCUGCAGCCACGAGUGUUUUCUGUCAUCACCCUCAGCAUCAUUCCCAGAAGGAAAAUAGAAGCAGUCACGUCCAGGGAGCCUUUGCCUCGCUGUCCUUAGGACUCACCCAGCCCUGAGAUAACUGGCUGGCGAGAUAACCAAAUGUUGUGCUGGGUUUCUGUAAGGCGCGGGUGACCCUCAUUUCCACAUGUCUCCAUCCCCUUAAUUGCUUCGUUCUCCUCCAACCUCUGAGCUUGUUAAGCCCAGUGGUUUUGCUCUGCACAUCACAAGCUGUUCCUGUGCUUGAAAAGAUUCAGUUAAAUGCCUUUUGCUGCUUUUGUAUUGGAAAUUUAUGCAAAAUUUAUAAACAAAAAAGUCCUGAACAGAAAUCUCACUUUUUUUUUUUCUUCUUCUAAAAAUAUUCAGAGCAGGACUUGUGGAACAUCAGGAAUAAUGACUCAAUCCAGCUAAAUUUUCAACAGUAAGGAGAAAAAAAGAACCUCUUGAGAACGGCACGUUGAGAAAUGACUACAUUACAUAUAAAAAAGAAAAAGAGUGUGUAAAACUUCCUAACUUAUUAAAUUUCCUGCCACGGGCCUAUUAAAUGGGGUGGAAGGGAGCCGCAGAGCCCUCCUCCUCCUCCUGCUGCCCAGCCCCACAGUGGGGAUGUGAUGGGGACUGCGUGUCCCUGCCACGGGGCCUCGUUCUGCACCCAUCACAGAUCAGAGCCCGAGGGGAGAAGUGCAGGAAGGGAAACUUGGAGGAAAAGUCCCCUUUGGUGCAGGGCCAGUGCCCGGAGCGCCGAGCCACGCAGCAACCGGCCGGGGGAGCGAGGUUUGUCUGCUCGGCCGCUGAGUGCUGGGCUUGGCACCUCGAGCUGUGCAUCUUGUGCUCACUCCCUGCUCAGGGCUUCUUGGUGCAGGCUCAGGUAAAGCAGAGGAUGCCUGUGCAUUGCUCAGAGCACCCCACGUCCAUCACACCAAAGAAAAGCGCAGCUAGCUGUCAUUUCCAAGGAAAGGAAAGCCUGGAGAAUUGGUGCACUAGGAACACUUAAUUCUGGAUUCAUUUUCUUUUCUUUAUUUUUUUUUUUUGCUUUAAAUUUUUGUUGGCAUUUACAACCUUGGCCAAGAUCAGGGCCUAUUUCUGAGCCUGCCCAUCGCUGAAGAUCCCCUGCUCCAUCCCGGUGUGCGUGGUGCAGAAGCAUCACUCCUGGUGAGGGCACCAGGAGAGGAUGCAGCCGCAGCUGGAGGAGCAGCCGUGCCGGGGGCUGAAUGCCAACACACCUGGGAACCACGUCUGGACACCGAGUGUGCCAGGAGCAGCACCGUGGGGCCAGGCCAGGAGCUUCCCUGCACGGAGCAGGCUUCGCCCUGCUCUGUUUGCUAUUCUCCUGCAAAACAGGCUGCCUUGUCAAUAUUCCCAGCAGGUGCCACGCGCAGGAUACGGCAGGUUAUUUAUAGCCAGUUCAUUUUCAUUUUCCUCCUAGCAGGGAUGAGAUCCUACACAAAGAUUUGGCUCCUCGGGGAAUCUGUCUCAUUUCCACCCCAGGAGAGCUCGGCGCCUUACGGAGACGUGAGCUGGCAGCGGCCCGGGGCUCACGGCCCACUGAGGGUUUGUGCUGCUGCUGUUCCUGCCGCUCCUGCAGCUCCUCUCCAGUUCCCACCACUGCACACACCACGCUCCAGUGCCACCCGAUGUGUCGUGGUGGCACCACUCGUGUCCCUGUAGCCGCUCGCUGCAGCACAGCACCCGGCGAGCAUCCCACACGCUCUCCCAGAAAGGUGCUCCGUGAGGAUUUGGGGUUUCUUCACCUUUUAGUGGCUGGCAUGAGGCCACCCGGGCUAUUCACUGAGCAUCUCUGGCCACCUCUCCUGGCCAAGGGCUGCUGCAGCCGGCAGUGAUGCCUGAAGGAAAAGGGACCCGACUUUCUGCUGCCCGACCGCAGCGGUGGCACCAGUGUGCCCGCACUGGAGGGGUGCCCAGCGCCCCCAGCACCUCCACCAGUGGUUCCU